GCGCGGCCUUCUAAUGCACAGGGCCUGACAUCGACUUCCGCGCACGGAUCGAACCUUCGAUCGCGCCGAUUUGCAUAGCGGGCCCGCGCCCCGCCGCGCCCGACUCCACGCCGAGACCGCGCAGGCGAGGCCGGGCGCUCCCGGGCUCUGCCUUCCUCCCUCGGUGCCCGGGGGACCGGGCUGCUCACGGCCGCAGACGUGUGCGCGGGCGAGCGCGGAACGCGGCGGGAGACGAUCUCCGCCGGCACCGCGAAAGGAGCCGAGGGCGCCCAGGGCCCCGCCGCGGACCGCGCGGAGGACAGGUACCACCUGCGCGGCGCCGCGGCCCGCUCCCCGCGGGCAGGGGUGGGCACCGCAGGGCGAGGACCCGGGCUGCGAACCGCGCUCCCGCUCCCGGCUCCUGCGCGAAACGGAGCACACUGACCCCGCUUCCCUCCCUCCUGGAGGCGCAUCCUGGACGCGACGCGCCCUCGGGAUAAGUAAGAAAAUUAGGAAUUCGAUAGUUGGAAAGCAGACUGGGGAGGAAAAUUAAAUCCAACACCGACUGGAAAUAUGCUGGACAGAUGAAACGACAGUGACAGAAGACAGGAGAGUAAUUUACCUGAAAAAAAGAAAGAGAUUAGGCUCUGAAUUUUCCAGAUUGUAAUGACAAUACGAAAUAAAUCCAAAGAAAUUGCUUCCCUGACACUCUAUGUACAACCAAAGCAGAAGCCCUGGUGCGUGGAUGGCGAUGGCGUGGUCAAGUGGAUAUUUGAGGCCUUUCAAGUGACAAUUCAGCUUGGGGACAUUUGCAUAGUCUUUCAGCAAAGUACAGCCGAUUAGGUGGCCUUUGGUCCUGGCGGAAAACAAUUUAUAAUUUAUAUCCACCUGUGGGGGGUAGCACUCUACUGAAAUCAAGAGUGGUUUCUAGGGAGUUAACCUCGGCAGAAGUCUCUCCAGUGAGCAGGACAAGGUAGAGAGGCCUGCUGCUCCAGAGGGGCGGCCACACGCGACCUUUCCUCUGGCUGUGUUCUGGAGAGGAAGGCUCUGAACUUAGCUUUGGCCACAGCAAAUUAUUGCUCAUUUGAUACCAAGAAUUCUAUUGACCACGGCUUUCGUUGGAGAGCGAAUUCUAACUACUGGCUGCUCUGUUGUCAGCUAGAGCUGAGGCUGGGAACCUUCCACAAGGCUGUGACGGCACACAGAGUCCUCUGCUCCAGGAAGUGCAGAGGUGCGUUCCUUACGGGGGCCCACUGGACUCGUGUAGAAAUCUGCUUUUUGUUCUGCGGGCCAGCAAAAGGUCAGCCUCUUUGGAAUGAAACUGCCCACUCAUUUGCCUCUCAGAACCUUUCUAGCAACUUCUUUUCAGCUCUGGCCAUGGUAGGCAAUGAAAUGAUGCAAACAGAUUGCUCCUCGAUCCUUUGGUCACCACUGCCCCAACACAGACACUUGGAGAAAUCAUUCACACCUCCCCGCCUCAAAAAAAAAGUCUAAAUGAGAGGCUUUACUGUCUGGCUAUGAUUUCCUAAAUUUCACUGCCCUAUCCCACUCCACCCCUUCCAGACCCAUGCUGUCGCAGCGGGGCAGAGCAGGGAGUGGGUGCCAUGAGGUCCACUGUCCCUCAUGCAGUGGCCACUCAGUAUCCAGAGAAGGCUGACCUCUGACCCCAGGCCAGCUGCUGUCGGGCUGGAGCUGUCCUGGCUACAGAGAGGACCUGAAGGGUUUGUUCCCGGGAAGCUGCUGGCAGCAGAUUCAGCCCUCUUGCACUGGGAGGAGCCAGUGCCGCCAAACCUAGGCCGACCUCUGCCUUGCACCAGGUGGCCUCUAUUCCAGCGGGUGGGCAUCAUGGGGGACAGAAGACCUGACCCACCCAGCCAGGGUGUGUGAGCCCCCCCCCCCAGGCAAAGGGAGCCGAAGCCGAGCCCUUCUGCAGCCUUCUUCCAGAACAUUGGGUCCCAUCUGCGGCCCCUGAAGCCCUGGACCCAGAGACAUGGACACCCUUAGCAGAACCUUGUCCCUGGCGCCUCCGAGGAGGAUACAGCACCUUGAGGUUGGGUGCAGAUGGAGAGAAAGGCCAAGGGCCGGUUUCCAAAGAGCACUGGGCAAGUGCGGCCCCAACAGCAUCAGCUCCCAAAAUCCGAAUCCCUUCAGGGGCUCCAGCAGACUGGCUUGGGGUGAUCGUCCCAGGUGCUGUUUCCCCCACUACUGGCCUCGCUGGGCAGUUAGGCAGAGCCUUGUUCCCAGAUGGGUUCGCUUGGAGGUCCUUCAGCUUCUGGACGGUGGGGAGUAUGGACGGGGUCGCAUUGUAGGGCUGUAUUUGCCUCGGCUUUUCCUUUUUGUUUCUAACAUAGAUAACGCUGGUGUGUGUUGUCUGCCUGCACCCAAAGCGAUGGUGUUCCUGGAAUGCAAGCACCGCCCGCCAUGCUUGGAGCAUCCUGCCGCAGAGAGAACACUUUCUCCUGGUCUCAGCCCAGACUGACAGCCUGGGGGCCUCGUAGGACACUCGGCCAGAUGACACACACACAAGGGCACCCAGAACCUGUGUCGUGGGCUCCCGGGCAGCUGUGGAUCCAGGAGGCAGGCUGAGCAAGCCAGCAACACUCGCUGCCACUUGUCCAGAAAGCAAGAAAGCGGCAAUAUCCUCAGUGUUAUUUAAGGGAAAAAGACUGGGACCUGCACUGGAGUUUAAAAGUUAGGGGCGGGCUGCUCCCCAGCAUUUCUUUGGAAGGAGGCAGAACUGAGAGCUAUGCAGCUGGCUUGGCGCUUCAGCCCAUAGGAGAGGAGGAAAUUCUCCUCCUCCUCGCUGCACCUUGGAGCAGGUCCUCUGGCAGAGCUCUCGGCUCCCCAGCACCCCGUCAGCCUCCUGCCUCUCCUGCCAGGCCAAUGGAACCAGCAGAACUCGAUAGUAAAUUAUUUUGUUCAGCCCUCUGUCUUUUUAUGAAAAUAAAAGCCAACACUUUGUCAUUUUUAAUCACGUAAGCAGACAAUAAAUCCAAUUUCGAUAUUGAUUUUUUUUUCCAG
ensembl:lncRNA